UAGAACUGACCCCAGACAGGCUGAGCUUUUGUGGACUGUUUCCUUGGAGACUUCCUGCUAGGCAAACCCGGAAGUCUUCUUGAUGACAUCCUUGUUUGUCACAUCAGAAGGUGUCACCAGCGUUGGGAGGGGUUGGAGUUUUGAGGCUGUAGCCGAAGCACACUUGUCCUGCCUCUGAGAGAGAUCUGGGAACGGAGGCUGCUGCAAACAGUGUUGGCCAUCUUGCUCAUCUGCGUGGAUCAGGCUUCCUCACGGCUGCAGAGCAAUGCGGAAUGGGAUUACCUGGUUGAUGCUGUUUGCUGUUGUUUUUGUCGGUUGGCCAUUGGUUCUUUCACGGCUGUGGUGACUUCUGAACAAACCAGGCUCACACUGUGAAAAAUGACUAGAACCAAGCUGGGGGUGGGGGAAGUUUUGCUGAACACUAUUGUACUCGGAGUGCAAACUUCGCCUGCCCAAAGACAGGAAAAGCCUCACCUGGUUUGAGAUCUACAGACACCAUCCUGGGUUUCAGCAUCAUCCACGGGUCUUGCCUCAGCAUGCCUGUCUGUCUCAGCUGACAUCACUCUGCCAAUCAGCCGGAGUCCGAGGAAGCAACAGAGAAGACCACCAGAAGUUUUUUUGGUGCAUUUCUCUCUAUGGAGUCCUGACAAGUGCAGCUCAAUGAUGCAAGGAUUGGGAUAUGCGCUCCCAGAUGCCGCUCCAGUACCAUGCCUGCUUGCUGCUGAACACGCUUCCCGUCAUGAUGGUUGUGGACUACUGUGCCUACGGAAGUGCAAGCCGCAAAGAUCCUU
rnacentral:sRNA from 1 species